CUGACUGAGGACUCACAAUCCAGAACCUGAAGAUUGGAUCUUCUGAGAACAUAUGAGAAAGACUGCCCUUGCCAUCCACACUGCAGCAAGACUUUAAGACCUUGAACCUUGGGUUCAUAAUCUUACAAUCCCUGAGAAGGCUCUCUCCACACUCUUGAAACUUCAAAAUUUCCUUAAGGAUUUGGUACCUGGUUGGCAUUCAGCAUAUGUUUAAUAGAAACAAUAGAUGAGUGAAGGAAUGCAGAAAAGAGGAAGAGGAUCUGGCCAAAACAGGAUCUGAACAUGUUGAAUUUGAGAUGCUGUGAUACAUCCAUGAGAUGCCAUUAUGUCCGGAAUUGGUGGGUUCUUGGUCUUGCUGACUUCAAGAAUGAAGCUGGGACGUUGUGCUCCUCUGAGAGACCUGGUCUGGAGAUCACUUGAACCUUAAGCCCCUGAGCUUCCCAGAGAUCACUUAGAACCUGUGGGCUGUGUGUUCUCCUAAGGCCUGGCAGCAGAGCUGGGGAAGCUGGUAGUGGGAGAAGGUGAAGAGAGCAGACUCACUCCUGGCAGUAGGAGAGGGGCGAUGGAGAGAUGAGCACCAGUUGCUUCAUGGCGCAAGUUGUCCAGGCAGAAAACUGCCUGAAAUCUUCAGUUCUCAGCUUACUGCUGGUAAGUACCGAAUAAAACAGAUGCUUGAUUUGCUCAAAAAUAGAAAGGGUGAAUAGGUGGCUAGCUAUUCUAGAGUAAGAAAAGCAACGAAGCUGGGUGGUUUUUGUCUUUCUCAAAUUUUUUCUUUAUUCUCUAAUAUACCGAUCUGCCAUAGACAUUGUUGUUAGACUACCUACUAUUGUGCUGGAAAAGGAAAGGGAGUUUUGUGGUAUGCAAAAUUUGGGAUAUAUUAAAUAUUAAAUAAAUAGAUGAGGACAGAUGUUAUCAAGUGAUAACGUUUUCUCCCAAAACAUAGUUCUCACUUUCGUUCAUACCUCACGUUCCUCCAAAUUUUAACUUCUCAUUUUUGUUCUUAUUUGUAAAGAGGUAUCUCUUGGCCGGGCGCGGUGGCUCAAGCCUGUAAUCCCAGCACUUUGAGAGGCCGAGACGGGCGGAUCACGAGGUCAGGAGAUCGAGACCAUCCCAACAUGGGCUAACAUGGUGAAACCCCGCCUCCACUAAAAAAUACAAAAAACUAGCCGGGCGAGGUGGCGGGCGUCUGUAGUCCCAGCUACUCGGGAGGCUGAGGCAGGAGAAUGGCGUGAACCUGGGAGGCGGAGCUUGCAGUGAGCUGAGAUCCGGCCACUGCACUCCAGCCUGGGCGACAGAGCGAGACUCCGCCUCAAAAAAAAAAAAAAAAAAAGGUAUCUCUUUUGUGGGAUUAACUUGUUAUCUGUAGAAAAGGACAUAGACAUUGGGGAUUUGAUGCUUAUCUUCACUAAAGAAAGAAUAUUAUAUACUUUUAUAGAGUUUAAAUAGAGAAAAUGUUAUAUACAUAUAGUAAGCACCAAAAGAAAUGUAAACUUUCUUCAUUUACUCUUCAAAGUGUACUCAUAUGAGGAAUCUGUAGCAUUAAAUAAUAAGAGAACAGGCAAGGCACAUACAGGGCUUAGGAAAAAUGUUGUUGUUGUUGUUGUUGUUGUCAUUGGAAAACCUACAUUAGGUUAAUCCCAACCAACACCUGAACCUGCUCAGCAUCUCCAACUCUGCAUCCUGGUGCCCCUGCUGCACAUAACAUCCCUUUCUCAUUGCCCACACACAUUUUAACCUCUCAAAGCCUCUUAAUUAGAAAACAUCUUCCAUUCUAUUCCAGAAAGAUAAUCUCUACUUGAGAAAAUGUGAUACCCAGACAAGAAAUAUUUCUUCUUUCCUUUUAUUGAUCUGAUAAGUCCUCCAGAGGUAAG
ensembl:lncRNA